CUUUCCAUGGAGGUUAGAGAGGACGUCCGCAAGCUCCGGUUGAAAGACAAGCAUGCAGGCCUAAAGGGAGGAGACAGUGGAUCAGAGGUUCUCGCAGCUUACAUGAGAAAAUACUCUCAAUGCCAAAAGCUUCUAGGACCUGUGAGAGGCUCAGCAGGGUGCUACAGUGCCAGGGAUGAAGAAGAUGGCCACAGGACUUUGGAUGCUGAGUUCUGUGAUGUAGGUGAUUUUGAUGAGAACUUUAGCCCGAGGGGGUUUCUGAAAGACCUUACAGGGAUCCCUUCUGUGUUACGACUUGGUGAAAGGUGGACCUACUGAUAGACCCCGUUGACUGACCUGAGGACUGGGCCAUGACCAGAGCAUGGGAAAAAGACAUUUUACAGCGGAAGACUGUCUACUCCCAUUGUGUGUGUUCUCUUAUCAGUCUGGCAGCUGAGUGCCUGGUGGCAGUACCAGCUCUUCUGCUUCACACAACAGCGACUUCAUUUCCUCCUUUAGACAACGCACAUGGCUACAGAAGAUACACACCUGGGCUAUGAAGUCUAUUACUCUUCCCUUAAUGUGAACACUGUCGAGGGGAACAGAAUUCGCAGAUGCAUCCUGAAGGCCGGCUUUAAUGUUUGUGAAGGGCUUGAUGUCUGGUAACUGGAAAU